rnacentral:rRNA from 1 species
GACGUAGGGCGCGAGCGUUGUCCGGAUUUAUUGGGCGUAAAGAGCUCGUAGGCGGUUCGGCAAGUCACGUGUGAAAUCUCCACGCUCAACGUGGAGGCGCCACGUGAGACUGCUGUGACUCGAGUCCGGUAGGGGAGCGUGGAAUUCCCGGUGUAGCGGUGAAAUGCGCAGAGAUCGGGAGGAACACCCGUAGCGAAGGCGGCGCUCUGGGCCGGUACUGACGCUGAGACGCGAAAGCGUGGGGAGCAAACAGG